AGAAGCUGCGAAGUUGCUGUUGCUCCGGCCGUGGCCACACGCCUCUCCGAAGAGAGGCAGUGAGACCGAGGAGCCUUAACAGUUACUAUGGCAACUGCCAAGCGCUGGGCCUAGCGGGGGAUGAUGAAGCCUGGGCGAGCGGGUGUUGCUGCUGCGGUAGCUUGCACUCAGCAGCAGCUCUGAAAGUCGAGACAGGCUUCGCACCUUUGCAGUUACAACAGCGGCUCUACGGACGAAGCUAGAGGAAAAGGGAGGAGGGAUGAUUUAUCCCGGUUCGCGGCUGCGGGCAAGCUGCUGGCUACCAUUAGAUCUUUUGUUAAUGCUGGCAGAAGCCCUUCUGGGGUUUUUUUCAUCUAAUGCCCAUGUGGGUAUGCUAAUCUGGAGCAACACAAGCUUAGCUUGCUGAUUUCCUUGAUAUGGGUGCCUAUGAGAAGUGAGAUGGACUCAUGCAAAAUAUAGAUCAGACUGGAUGCCAACUGUGGAAGAAAGUACUGAGUCAUUUAAAAAACAAAAUCUGACCUAAACCUGGAGCCCUAUGAGAGAAAAGACCAUCUGUUUCAAAAUUUGCUAAAGUUCAUAAGCUUAAGUAGCUAUACCUAUUUUUAUCCCUGUGUUCAUUUGCCAAGAGGCACAAGACACAGAGCAUCUACUGCCAUUUUUCCUUCUAUAGCCUCUGUUUGCUUUACCUUCUCCCCACAUGAUGCUCCUUCCCCAAUGAAUUCAGGCUGAAAAUUGCAUCUUCCUUUCGACUGGGCUUACAUGUUUUACAGACCACUUAAAUUGGUUCAUUUGCACAUGUACAAAUUAAUUUCAUGAAAUAGCUGCUGUAGAAUCUGACUUUGUAAUCUGGAGUCCCACAAAUUCUGCUGCUAUAAAUGCUUUUUCCUUU